rnacentral:misc_RNA from 1 species
GAAUAGACUGCUACUUACGCACAAAGAUGGUUUUUAGCAAAAACUGAAGAUGUGUGGAUCCUUUCACAAUCAUAGAUUAACAUAUACAUGCAUGCAUGAAGCCUUACCAUCACUACAUCAAUGGAUUCUCUCUCCAUGCGUGCCUACUACUCACUACCAAGAAAAGAAAAUCCAGAAAGAAAACGAGAGAGAGAGGUUUAAUUAAUUAAGAGCUGCGAACGAUAA